rnacentral:lncRNA from 1 species
CGUUAUUCGCUGAUUUAUUCAGAGACUAUAGUCGUUUCAUUGUAGGACAGAACUUAUGGCUCAUGUUUGUUGUAUGUGUGCACUUUAGUCAUUCAUGUAUGAUUUGGAGUAGAGGAUUGGCUUGUGAUGAUUCAGGUCUGAAAGGAUCUUAGCGGAUUUCGGUGAGGCAGAUUCGUCUGUCAUUGAUCGAUUCAUGUUGUUACACACACUGAAGCCUUUCCGUCUCUUUCAUUGAUUUUGUCUUGGUUUUUAUUCUCAUUUUUUCUGCGAUGCGAUGAUGAUUCAUAUAGGUUUUUGGCAGUAGUGGCAUCUGUCACUGUGAGCCUUCAAACCAAAAACGACUUCUCUUUCCACUGAGCAUUGCUUUGUUGCACUUGGUCCUCCCAGUUACAUAAUCUGAGAUGUUUUUUGCUUUUGGUUCUUUAAGGGAUUUCUGCAAUGCUUUCUGUUCUCUUUCUCUUAACUAGAUUAUAUUGUCAAUAUUUUGUUGAUUUUGCUUGGGCCCGAUGCCACGUCUCCAUUAGCCACAAGCCUUGACCGGAGAUGCUACAUUGUGCCGAGAGAGAGUUCUUGGACUGUUCACAUUUGAUAGGAACCUGUGGCUGUGAUUCAGUCGGUACACAGAGCCGUUUUUUGUGAUUACACUUCUUGACUGCAUAACCAUAACAUAAUAUUUUUUGUAGUUGUUUUGAAAUUUCGGGAACUCAAAUGGCGAUGAUGAUAAAGCUAAAGGCUUGUUUCUCAAAACAUUCGCAGUUGCCGCCUAAGAGCUUUCGCCCUGCCAGGCUUGAGAGCUAAUGCUGCUAAUUCCUUCCUUGGAUGUCUGAGCCAUGUUGAUUUUCCUAGUUUUUAAUCUCCUUUUUUGAUAUCAGAAAAAUAAUACAAUGUUUUGAGAGCAGCGCAGUGCACUCGAACAUUGUGCCGAUAGAGUUCUUGGACUAUUCACAUUUGAUAGGAACCUGUGGCUGUGAUUCAGUCGGUACACAGAGCCGUUGAUUACACUUCUUGACUGCAUAACCAUAACAUAAUAUUUGUUGUAGUUGUUUUGAAAUUUGGGGAACUCAAAUGGCGAUGAUGAUAAAGCUAAGGCUUGUUUCUCAAAACAUUCGCAGUUGCCGCCUAAGAGCUUU